rnacentral:rRNA from 1 species
ACAUGCAAGUCGAACGGGGUCUUCGGACCUAGUGGCGCACGGGUGAGUAACAUGUAGGAAUCUACCUAAAGGUUCGGAAUAACUGCGGGAAACUGUAGCUAAUACCGGAUGUGUCUGCAAAGAGAAAGAUUUAUCGCCUUUAGAUGAGCCUGCACUAGAUUAGUUUGUUGGUGAGGUAAAAGCUCACCAAGACUUCGAUCUAUAGCUGAUUUGAGAGGAUGAUCAGCCACACUGGGACUGAGACACGGCCCAGACUCCUACGGGAGGCAGCAGUGGGGAAUAUUGGACAAUGGGGGAAACCCUGAUCCAGCAAUGCCGCGUGAGUGAAGAAGGCCCUCGGGUUGUAAAACUCUUUCAUCAGUGAAGAUAAUGACAUUAACUGAAGAAGAAGCUCCGGCUAACUCCGUGCCAGCAGCCGCGGUAAUACGGAGGGGGCUAGCGUUGUUCGGAAUUACUGGGCGUAAAGCGCAUGUAGGCGGAUCAAAAAGUUAGAUGUGAAAUCCCUGAGCUUAACUCAGGAACUGCAUUUAAAACUAGUGAUCUAGAAAUUGGUAGAGGAUAGUAGAAUUUCCAGUGUAGAGGUGAAAUUCGUAGAUAUUGGAAAGAAUACCAGAGGCGAAGGCGACUAUCUGGGCCAAAUUUGACGCUGAGAUGCGAAAGCGUGGGUAGCAAACAGGAUUAGAUACCCUGGUAGUCCACGCAGUAAACGAUGAGUGCUAGUCGCUGGGUCAAUAGAUUCGGUGUCGUAGCUAACGCAUUAAGCACUCCGCCUGGGAAGUACGGU